UACGGAGGAUGCAAGCGUUAUCCGGAAUGAUUGGGCGUAAAGCGUCCGCAGGUAGCGAUGUAAGUCUGCUGUUAAAGAGUCUAGCUCAACUAGAUAAGAGCAGUGGAAACUACAUAGCUAGAGUACGUUCGGGGCAGAGGGAAUUCCUGGUGUAGCGGUGAAAUGCGUAGAGAUCAGGAAGAACACCAGUGGCGAAGGCGCUCUGCUAGGCCGUAACUGACACUGAGGGACGAAAGCUAGGGGAGCGAAUGGG
rnacentral:rRNA from 1 species